rnacentral:rRNA from 1 species
UACGUAGGUGGCAAGCGUUGUCCGGAUUUACUGGGCGUAAAGAGCGCGCAGGCGGUCGUUCAAGUCGCGUGUGAAAGCCCCCGGCUCAACUGGGGAGGGUCACGCGAUACUGAUCGACUCGAAGGCAGGAGAGGGUAGUGGAAUUCCCGGUGUAGUGGUGAAAUGCGUAGAUAUCGGGAGGAACACCAGUGGCGAAGGCGACUACCUGGCCUGUUCUUGACGCUGGAGGCGCGAAAGCUAGGGAGCAAACGGG